UCAAAAAGAGACCGUAAAAAAGAAAGGAAAAAAAAUCUCUCUCUUCUCUCUCUCUCUUUCUCUCAAUUAUUUUGAAAAAAAAAAAAUAGGGUUUUCUUUGUCUUUCUAUUUGCAGAGGUUUUUUUCAUGGAGUUAUGCUUGAAAUUUCUGCGUCUUCUUCAGGAGUUCUACCAUUCCCAACUAGGGCUCCCAUGAUUUUACCAAGAAUUGAAAAUCUCCAUAUGGAUGCUGAAAUGUAACCCCAAAUAAUUAUUAUAAGAAAAUGGCCAAAAAUGUAUGAACACAAUUUGUACUUAAAUUUUUUCUUGGACUUUACCUUUUAAAAGGGUAUAGAUAAUAGUUUAUCACUUGAGAAUUGAAAAAACAGUAAUAGUUAAGUUUGUUGAUGUUUGGAAUUUACCUCUUGGGGACUUCCAUUAUUGUUGUUAUUGAGUGAAUUGCAAUAAAUAGAGUUGGAGGGGCUCCACCUUCCCAUGAUCAUCAAACAAUCAUCUGUUGUUUCAUGAUCUAUGAUUAUUUUUCCUUCA